rnacentral:misc_RNA from 1 species
AUGAUUAUCUUGUUAUUUUCCAUCCUUAUUACGCUUGUUAUUAGUUCUGUAGUUAUAAUUCUUGCUUCGCUCCUAGCAAAAAAAACAAUUAUAGACCGAGAGAAAAAUUCACCAUUUGAAUGCGGAUUUGACCCUAAAGGAUCCGCCCGACUUCCCUUUUCCCUACGCUUUUUUCUGAUCGCAGUUAUCUUCCUCAUUUUUGAUGUUGAAAUUACCCUUCUCUUGCCUCUUGCUAUAAUUAUCAAUUUUUCAAAUAUCUCUGCCUGAGCAUUUACCGGAUUCCUAUUCAUUUUAAUUUUACUUAUUGGACUCUAUCACGAAUGAAAUCAAGGAGCUCUAGAAUGAGCUUACU